rnacentral:rRNA from 1 species
ACUCUGUUUCUAUAUGUAACUUCUGAGUAAAACCAUAAAUAAAUCAAAACUUUCAACAACGGAUCUCUUGGUUCUGGCAUCGAUGAAGAACGCAGCAAAAUGCGAUAAGUAAUGUGAAUUGCAGAAUUCAGUGAAUCAUCGAAUCUUUGAACGCACAUUGCGCCCGCCAGUAUUCUGGCGGGCAUGCCUGUUCGAGCGUCAUUUCAACCCUCAAGCCCCCGGGUUUGGUGUUGGGGAUCGGCGAGCCCUUGCGGCAAGCCGGCCCCGAAAUCUAGUGGCGGUCUCGCUGCAGCUUCCAUUGCGUAGUAGUAAAACCCUCGCAACUGGUACGCGGCGCGGCCAAGCCGUUAAACCCCCAACUUCUGAAUGUUGACCUCGGAUCAGGUAGGAAUACCCGCUGAACUUAAGCAUAUCAAUAAGCGGAG